rnacentral:rRNA from 1 species
GAUGAACGCUGGCGGCGUGCCUAAUACAUGCAAGUCGAGCGAACGGACGAGAAGCUUGCUUCUCUGAUGUUAGCGGCGGACGGGUGAGUAACACGUGGAUAACCUACCUAUAAGACUGGGAUAACUUCGGGAAACCGGAGCUAAUACCGGAUAAUAUUUUGAACCGCAUGGUUCAAAAGUGAAAGACGGUCUUGCUGUCACUUAUAGAUGGAUCCGCGCUGCAUUAGCUAGUUGGUAAGGUAACGGCCUACCAAGGCAACGAUGCAUAGCCGACCUGAGAGGAUGAUCAGCCACACUGGAACUGAGACACGGUCCAGACUCCUACGGGAGGCAGCAGUAGGGAAUCUUCCGCAAUGGGCGAAAGCCUGACGGAGCAACGCCGCGUGAGUGAUGAAGGUCUUCGGAUCGUAAAACUCUGUUAGUAGGGAAGAACAGAUGUGUAAGUAACUGUGCACAUCUUGACGGUACCUAAUCAGAAAGCAACGGCUAACUACGUG